rnacentral:tRNA from 1 species
GCCCAGCUAGCUCAGUCAGUAGAGCAUGAGACUCUUAAUCUCAGGGUCAUGGGCUAAUGCCCCACAUUGGACA